rnacentral:tRNA from 1 species
GGAGAGGUGGCCGAGUGGCUUAAGGCGCACGCUUGGAAAGCGUGUUUAUGAGAAAUUGUAACAGGGGUUCGAAUCCCUUUCUCUCCG